CCUACGAGUGGCUGCAGUGAGGAAUAUUGGUCAAUGGCCGUAAGGCUGAACCAGCCAAGUAGCGUGAGGGAAGACUGCCCGAUGGGUUGUAAACCUCUUUUAUGCGGGGAUAAAGGUGUCCACGUGUGGAUGUUUGCAGGUACCGCAUGAAUAAGGACCGGCAAAUUCCGUGCCAGCAGCCGAGGUAAUACGGAAGGUCCGGGGGUUAUACGGAGGGAUUGGGUUUAAAGGGAGCGUCGGCCGGUCUUUAAGCGUGCCGUGAAAUUUUGUGGCUCAACCAUGAGAGUGCGGCGCGAACUGGAGACCUGGAGUGCGCGGAAGGCAGGCGGAAUUCGUGGUGUAGCGGUGAAAUGCUUAGAUAUCACGAAGAACCCCGAUUGCGAAGGCAGCCUGCCGCAGCGUUACUGACGCUGAAGCUCGAAAGCGCGGGUAUCGAACAGGAUUAGAUACCCGAGUAGUC
rnacentral:rRNA from 1 species